rnacentral:rRNA from 1 species
CUACGGUGAAUACGUUCCCGGACCUUGCACACACCGCCCGUCAAGCCAUGGAAGCCGGGUGUACCUAAAGUCGGUAACCGUAAGGAGCCGCCUAGGGUAAAACUAGUGACUGGGGCU